CUCCUCCUCUCUCCCUCCCUCCCGCAGCCGCCUCCCUCCCUCCCGCGCGCCUCCUCUCCUCCCACCCACAUCGCCGCCGCCGCCACCCCCUCCUCGAACCGCGAUGAGCAGCAGCGGAGGGAGGACGAGGAGCACGACUGCGGCGGCAGCGGGGAGGAGCAGCAGCAGGGCAAGGCGGCGCAACAGCAACCCCGACUAACUGCCGCCCCGGAAUUUCAUGUCCGCCGCGCGUGCUGAGUGCCGACGCCCCCCCGCCGAACCCUUCCCGAAACCAAGCACCCGCCGCGCCGGAAAAGCGGCUCCCCUACCCUCAUCCGGCGGCGGAGGUGCAGUGCGCCGUCUGAGGCUCUCCGGCCGCCGGCUGCGGGGGCGCGGACAUGGCGGGGGCUGCGCGGGGCCGGGGCGCGAUGCUGCUGCUACUCGUCGCGUUCGUGCUCGCGCCCCUCGUGCUCUACGGCCACUUCCCCGUCUCGCCCCUCCCAGACUCCAUCGUGGCCAAAGGCGCGUUCGAUCGGGGGGCGGGUCCGGCUCCAAUCUGGUGUGGCCGCAUAUGGCCGCGUCCGAGGUUUCUCUCGCCAAAGGGGAGCCCGCUUUUCCUCCCCCCUUUCGUUUUGCUUGCCUAAUCUCGGGAAGGCAUGAGUUUCACUGGCUGUAGAUUAGAUCGUGAAAAUGGUAGAGAUAGAUUGAGUCUGUUUUCACCUCAGUACGAACAAGUAAACCAACGUCAUGCGCAUUUUUUGGUGAAGCAGUCGGCAGUUGAGUCAUCCUUCGGCCACCGCAUCUGAUUUUUUGUUGGAACUCUGUGUGAAUUGCUUUUUGUAGAUUUGACGAUUGAGAGGCUAGGGGAGCACAAGAACCGGGUGCUCUCGGCGACUGACAACUGGCAAGCAGUUGAGGUAGCCAGGAGCCAUCCAUCAGAAAAGAAAAUUGAUACGUGGGAGGACCCUGGGUGGCGGGAUGCCCAUCAGGUGGUUGCUGUGGGAAAUGACAGUGCUCAGUCGACACAGGAUGACAUGAUAAAGGAAGUUGUUAGCACCGACAGACGAGCAGAUGGCUUUCGUGAUCCCGGCGAUAGCAAGGUAGCUGAAGAGCAGGAUGGACAAGGGAUGGAUGAAAAAGAGUUGCAGGAUGCAACUGAGCUAGAGCACAAAGAUGGAUCUGGUGCAUCAGAGAAUAACAUUGCUGGAGCUCAUACUACUGCAAACCUGACAUCGUCUUUGGAAAAGGAAAGCGCUGCUGAUACAUUAUCUGAUCAUGAUAGUAUCAAUGCUGAUCUCGCCACAUCAGCAAGUGGCACUGGUCAUUCCGCAACUUCCCCAGAUGCUACAAUCCGCAUUAUCAAGGACCAAUUGAUAAGAGCAAAGACAUAAUCGUGGCAUUCUAGCUUCUAGAGGAAAUCAUGGUACCGCCAAGGAGUUACGUGCACGAACGAAAGAUAUCCAGCGAGCACUGGGUGAUGCAACCGAUGAUGGGAUGCUUCCUCAGAAGUACUUUCUCUUUCACUAUACUACAGGAGCAUAUGGUGUCGUGUCUCUCAAGCACAGUGCCCGGCUCCGGUUCGUCACAGAAGCCCACGGAAAGCAGCAAAGUUGAGCAUGCGGUGUCGCGCUUGUGAUGCACAGUGCUUGGCUCCGGUACAUCACAGAGGCCGGCAGCAAGGAACACAGCUUCCUGCCCUUGCCUCUGUAAAUCAUCAAGGAGGAAAAAUGUGCAAGAUGCUUGAAGUUUCCCCUUGAAACGAAGGUCUUGGGCCUUUGUUUGUACAUAUAUUCCCUUGAUUUGUACUGACUCUCCAAUUAAUUAUUCAGAGAGCUAUGGCCAUACAAGGAAAUCAAAAGUUUCAGUUGCAUGUAGCAAGGAAGGUCAAUUUGACACGGCGGUGCUGCCAUUUGCCCCUCCCUUCUCCCUCGAAAAUGUGGUUGACGCUCCCCAGAUCUUCAGGUUGGUGCCCUUGUUAUCUUCAGGUUGCAUGACAAGAUUUUUUCCUGUGGAACAUAUUGUGUAUCUUCCAUCGGUCAUGGUAACAAGGCGGUCUUAGAUUGCUCUGUACUAAUGAUUGUCUUGAGGGAUUAUUUCAUUCAUACUGCUCUGAAUUAAUCAUAUUCUCCUGCUACCUCAUUACGUUAGUAUGGUACAACUUUGCUGAAAAAACCAUUGUCCGUAUUUGUAGUACAGACUGUAGGAUCCACUAACAUCUAUUUACUGCUCUGGAUUAAUUUUUAGCUUCUUAUUACCUGUGGGAGUCCCAGUAUUACAAUAUAUAGCUCAUAGUGGCUCACAAAUCAUAAUAUGGUCCAUACGUACAAUAUAUGGCUCAUAAUGAACAUCUAAAGAUAUCUUUUCAAACAAUAUAGCAAAGUUGACUCCUUAGAAUUAUUAUUUUGGUAUUGUUCAAAAUUUCUGUAAUUACUGUGAUGAUAGCAGCGAUAAAGAUCAUCGGAGGUUCCUUAUUCUCGUUUUCAUAAUUUUGGAGAUUCUAUUCAAUUGAAAACAAUCAUGCCAUCAUAUAUUCAUAGUUCAUCUCUGGACUAGAAGUGAAAUGCAAAUAGACCUUUCAAAUUGACAUGGUCCAGGGACAAGCUCAUAUGGAUGAUACUGCCUGCAGAGUAAAUUCAAAUCAAAAUCACAUAUGGAUGUGUCCGAGGACAAGUUUGUCUGAUAAAAGGCAAGGAUGAAAGAGUGAGUAUAACCAUCAACUGGUCACAAUUUGCCGAAGCAGCCAAUAUUAAAGGUCAUAUUUGUGUCUUCGUCUUUGAGGAGGCUCAAAAGCACCAACACUCUGUCCAUAACCUUUUCUAAGGUCGGUAUGUGAAUUAUUGACUUCUUGCUCAUAUAUAGGUUAAAUCAAGACACUUAUUUCCGGAGGGAGGGAGUAUAUCAUAGUCGUAGUUCACUUCUAUGCCGUGUUUAAGUGUUCUUAUAGAUUAACUCAAACUAUAACUAUGGCUUGCUUUUGUUAUGUCAUACCAAAUCUCGAUGCUCUUGGUAGUUUCUGCUGCAUUUUCUGCCCAAUGCAUGUAAUGGAACUUUGUGUUUGGCUGGGAGUAUCUACUUUCUAUUACCAACCAAAUCUCUCUCUGCCUGCUUUGCAUUUCCGUUUGUGCUAUAUAUUGUCUACUACCGGUUUAGCUAAAACAGGAAAAUGUGGGGUUCUUUGCAUUUCCGUCUGUGCUAUGUAUUUUCUACUACUGGAUUCUUAUAUGCAAUUAUGUACAGUUCUCUUCCCCCCUUUAGUUUCUCACAUUUCUCCUUCAUCUUCCUGUGACUGUAUUUUUCUCUUGUGGGCAAAGAGUACUUGUCCUUCAAGUAGAUAGGUAUGAUUAUACAAUUGCUUGGUCUUCCGUGCUUAUUAAAGAUGAUCAUGGUGUUAAUUGAAAGGAUUUUCUCCUGGCUGCUUUACACUGACUUUUUUUCUAUUUAAAAAAUUGGUACGAGUACGUUGCAACAAAGACAAUGUUGGUCCAUAGAGUCCUACAUUCCUUUCCCGGUGAGUCUACAUUGUUGCAUGUCAGGUAGCAUACAUACUUCUUUUUCUUUGGCAUCCACAUUAACUUCUGCCCCAUCCAUGCUGAAAUCUAUUGAAACAUAUCCCUUACUGUAUAUUGUUCUGUUAGUGAGCCAAUUGUUUCCCAUCGGCUGAUUUUCAGUUUGAGGCUGGAAAAAUCUAUCCAUGCUAACUCCCCCUCUUACCUAUUGAAUGAAUUUAGUUAAAACAUUCAUCUAUUAUUUCAGGAACACCCCCUUGGGUAUGCAGCAGCGAUUUCCUAUGUUGAAUAUUGUUCAUUACAACAAUGAAAUCAACCUGCAGACUCAGCUUGCAAAGGUGGAGAUGGAGAGAAAGUUGUUGAUGCUCAAGCCAUGCGAUUAUGUAUGGAGCAAGAUGAACCUACCCACUUUUGUAUGGUUUAUUCUUAGGUUGUGUAUUGUGGCAUUGACACGAUUUUUUUAUUGUUGCUAAUGUUGACCAUUCAUGAAUGUUCAAUUGUUUAGAGUUGAAUUUGAGGAUAUAGCAGCGAUACAAGAAAAAAGUUGUGAUGCAUCUGUUUUA